rnacentral:rRNA from 1 species
AUGAUGUUAGGUGCUUGCACUCGAAAGAUUUAGCAGUUGAGACGAGUGGCGAACUGGUGAGUAACACGUGGGUAACCUGCCCUUGAAGCAGGGGAUAACACUUGGAAACAGGUGCUAAUACCGUAUAACAACCAAAACCACCUGGUUUUGGUUUAAAAGACGGCUUCGGCUGUCACUUUAGGAUGGACCCGCGGCGCAUUAGCUUGUUGGUAAGGUAACGGCUUACCAAGGCGAUGAUACGUAGCCGACCUGAGAGGGUAAUCGGCCACAUUGGGACUGAGACACGGCCCAAACUCCUACGGGAGGCAGCAGUAGGGAAUCUUCCACAAUGGACGAAAGUCUGAUGGAGCAACGCCGCGUGAGUGAUGAAGGGUUUCGGCUCGUAAAACUCUGUUGUUGGAGAAGAACAGGUGUCAGAGUAACUGUUGACAUCUUGACGGUAUCCAACCAGAAAGCCACGGCUAACUACGUGCCAGCAGCCGCGGUAAUACGUAGGUGGCAAGCGUUGUCCGGAUUUAUUGGGCGUAAAGCAAGCGCAGGCGGUUUUUUAGGUCUGAUGUGAAAGCCUUCGGCUUAACCGGAGAAGUGCAUCGGAAACCGGGAGACUUGAGUGCAGAAGAGGACAGUGGAACUCCAUGUGUAGCGGUGAAAUGCGUAGAUAUAUGGAAGAACACCAGUGGCGAAGGCGGCUGUCUGGUCUGUAACUGACGCUGAGGCUCGAAAGCAUGGGUAGCGAACAGGAUUAGAUACCCUGGUAGUCCAUGCCGUAAACGAUGAGUGCUAAGUGUUGGAGGGUUUCCGCCCUUCAGUGCUGCAGCUAACGCAUUAAGCACU